rnacentral:rRNA from 1 species
AGCAGCCGCGGUAAUUCCAGCUCCAAUAGCGUAUAUUAAAGUUGUUGCAGUUAAAAAGCUCGUAGUUGAAUUUCGGGAUCAAUUAAUUGGUCGUGCCUCUGGUACGUACUGAUUUUAUUGGUUUCUCCCUUCUGACGAACCAUGAUGUCAUUAAUUUGUUGUCGUGGAGAAUCAGGACUGUUACUUUGAAAAAAUUAGAGUGUUUAAAGCAAGCUAACGCUUGAAUACAUUAGCAUGGAAUAAUGAAAUAGGACGUUUGAUCCUAUUUUGUUGGUUUCUAGGAUCGACGUAAUGAUUAAUAGGGAUAGUUGGGGGCAUUAGUAUUCAAUUGUCAGAGGUGAAAUUCUUGGAUUUAUUGAAGACUAACUACUGCGAAAGCAUUUGCCAAGGAUGUUUUCAUUAAUCAAGAACGAAAGUUAGGGGAUCGAAGACGAUCAGAUACCGUCGUAGUCUUAACCAUAAACUAUGCCGACUAGGGAUCGGAUGAUGUUAAUUUUUAAUGUACUCAUUCGGCGCCUUA